GCAGGCGGGAGGGCACGCUGAGUCAGGGCCAGGCCCGGCUCGCCUAGACCGGCUCGGGAGCCCUCCCGGUGCCCGCAGACGUCCCCGGGGAGCCCGGGGACAUUACUGAGGGGUCUGGGCUGCCAACGCCAGCCUCCCCUCCGUGGGACCCGCCUCGGUUUCUGCUGGCAUCGCCCGGCACCUGCUGUGCUCCGCAGCCCUGACUGACACCUGUCAGCAUCAGGGAGGCACGUGCUUUCGGUCUGAACCGGCCGAUCCAGUUACUUUGACAUCCAAAAAAACAAACAAACAAAAAAAACACAAAAAAUCAGACUGGUUAAUAAGGGACAGCUCCUGUGGAGAACACAGCAGCUCAGAUUGGCCUAAAGAGAGGCUGUGGGUCACGGUCAAGUAAAGCCCCGGCACACAAACUACUGCUUGGAUGUUGUGUCGCCGCUUGUUCAGUCAAGACGCCUGCUCCUGGCCAGGUGCCCUAGGAAAGAAAGAACAGGCUAAGCAGGAGCCCACUUCCGUCCGCCCAUCUGCCCCCUCAGAGCCCUGGAUACCCGCACGCCUCUUUUUUUUUUUUUCUUCUGUCUCUUGCCGUCACUUUAUUCAUGCUUUAGCAUCUCGUUCUUUUGCCCCUUCAACUGAAGUCCACUAAGCUCCCACGGUCCUCAUGGGAAGACCCAGGUGUGUAAAGUGGCAGAUGGUGUCUGCCAUUCCAGUGAGGGUGCAGCAAGACUUGCCAAAACGGAAAAACAGGCAGGUGACGGGGAAAGGGUACACAGCCCAAACCCCAAGGUCGGAAAAGUGUGCUGACAGCGAAAAUAGACGAAGGAAUGGACCCACGAAGCCAGCACAGAACGCUGCAGGAAAAUCCUGAGACAGGUUGAUCCCUGUUGUGUUGUAGGGGGAGAAAAGACUUAGCUAGGUAUGUGCUACCAUCCCACUAGGUUACUAAUUUUUAAAAAAAUCAUAUUUUCAACAUAAAUAUGGACAGGUACCUGUCUUAAGAGACAAGAGGCUGAGGUUGUCCACAAAUACCCAGGAAGAGAGGAAAAGAGAAGUAGGGAAAGAAGAGAGGGGAAGGGUGUAGGAGAAGGAAGACACAACAGGAAGAAACCAGGGGAUGUUAGCAGCAAGGGUUCCAUGGGACACUUCAGAGCUCAGUGCGUAGAUGGACCUCAGGCUGGGAGGGAGCUGGAAGGCAAGAGAGGGAGUGGUGGUGACCAGCUGGAGGCAUGCAGUCCUCUCCUGACCUAGGCAUCUUGCUAUGUGCAAAGCUCAGGGAAGAGUCACCAGGCACACCCAUCCUGGUAUCCGGCCCUGGGGCUAAUCCAGCUCCUGCAGAUCACACCCUUUCUAGUCUAAGGCUUUAAUUCUAAAAAUGGAACUUCCAGGCAGUUUUCCUUUUGCAGAGUCGGAACUGGCUAGCUCAAAGCUCCAGGGCUGUUGACUGCAGAUCACCAGUGCUGGGCUGAGAACCAGCAACAGUGAGGCAGCCUGGCCAGCUCUGGGCCGGUGUGCACAAUCCAGCUUCUCCACUGGGUGCCUGCAUCCUCUGAGAGAAUGGUACCUAAGGUUCCCCCAAGCUCCGCAGGCCACCAC
rnacentral:lncRNA from 1 species